rnacentral:lncRNA from 1 species
CGUAACCGACCCAGUAAGAUAUGUUAACACCCUCGAGGAUUUUAGUCUUGAAAUCCUCAGAUACUUUAUAAUCAUCAAUGGCCUGCUCCUGUGCCCGACUAAGUGCUCCUGAGCUGACUUCACUUCCUCUUUGAUGGAAGCCGAUUCUAUAUCGGCCAGUGCCAACAUCUCCUCGGUGGCCCCAACACCAUCCCUGUUCAUUCUCCAGCUCCUC